rnacentral:rRNA from 1 species
GAUGAACGCUGGCGGCGUGCCUAAUACAUGCAAGUCGAGCGAACGGACGAGAAGCUUGCUUCUCUGAUGUUAGCGGCGGACGGGUGAGUAACACGUGGAUAACCUACCUAUAAGACUGGGAUAACUUCGGGAAACCGUAGCUAAUACCGGAUAAUAUUUUGAACCGCAUGGUUCAAAAGUGAAAGACGGUCUUGCUGUCACUUAUAGAUGGAUCCGCGCUGCAUUAGCUAGUUGGUAAGGUAACGGCUUACCAAGGCAACGAUGCAUAGCCGACCUGAGAGGGUGAUCGGCCACACUGGAACUGAGACACGGUCCAGACUCCUACGGGAGGCAGCAGUAGGGAAUCUUCCGCAAUGGGCGAAAACCUGACGGAGCAACGCCGCGUGAGUGAUGAAGGUCUUCGGAUCGUAAAACUCUGUUAUUAGGGAAGAACAUAUGUGUAAGUAACUGUGCACAUCUUGACGGUACCUAAUCAGAGAGCCACGGCUAACUACGUG